UUCCCUCUGGCAGAAUGGGCCUGAUUGAGGACUGCCAUGUCAGGUCCAGAUGACAUCACUGUGUUUUCCCUCCCAACUAGGUUCAGCUUUAGGUCACUUUGUUUGUUUCUGCAGCUGGGUUCAGCUCUUUAUUCUGCUUCCCCUUUCAUGGCCCCAUCCCCAACUAUCUAGCCCUCUUCCAUGUCCUCACCAGCAUCCAAGAAACUCAAUGAACUCAAACUGAUGAUGAAUCAAAGAGAUCCACAUAAAGACAUAUUAUAACCAAAUUUUUGAAAGCCAAGCUCAAAGAAGUAAUCUUGAAAGCAGCAAGAGAGAAGGAAUUUGUCACAUGCAAGAGAUCCUCAUUAAGAUUAUCAAAAGAUUUUUUAUCUGAAGCUUUGAAGGCCAGAAGACAAUGGGCUGAUAUAUUCAAAGUGCUAAAAGAAAAAACUGUCAAUGAAGAAUCCUGUAUUCAGCAAAACUGUCCAUCCUAAGUGAGAGAGAAAUUAUGACAUUCCAGUAAGUAAGAUAUAAGGUUUUUUGUUACCACUAGAUCUUUCCUGUAAGAAAUUCUGAAGACAGUCCUAUACAUUGAAAUGAAAGGACUUGAGACAAAAAUUUAAAGCUGCAAGAAGAAAUAAAGUUUCAAUAAAGUCCACAGGUCGACGCUCUAUCCACCGAGCCAAACCGGCCAGGGCUCCACAGUGGUUUUCACACGGAGGCCAAAGGGACGCAAGGAUGUGCCGUGUCCACCAGCGUGACUGUUUUCUGGAACGUGAGUGCCCUCGUCGGGCUUUCCUGGGAGACACCCCUGCCAGGCCCGGAGGCAGACAGCGCACAUGGAGGCCAGGAGACAAUUCACAAGGAGAGUCCUGGUCUGUCCCCACCACCAUCCCCCACUGCUUCUCAGGGACUGGAAGUUAACUCGCUCACCACAUUUGCUCCAUGAGAAAGGGUGGAAUAGGAUCUGAGACAACACCGGCCCCCAGGGACACGCACUCACAGUCUCCACACCCCGUGCCUGCCGGGCGCCUGGGAGGGCCUCCCUCAGUGCCAGGAGCUCCAGUUUGUCUUGGGUAACGUGGCAGGGAGAGCCGGAGGCCCAGAUCCCUGAACCCCAAAAUGUCCUGAGUGUGAACUGCAAUUGUAGAUAAAGUAAAGCACGCUGUUAUUUCA